CGCAGGGAAACCGAGUCUUAACUGGGCGUUAAGUUGCAGGGUAUAGACCCGAAACCCGGUGAUCUAGCCAUGGGCAGGUUGAAGGUUGGGUAACACUAACUGGAGGACCGAACCGACUAAUGUUGAAAAAUUAGCGGAUGACUUGUGGCUGGGGGUGAAAGGCCAAUCAAACCGGGAGAUAGCUGGUUCUCCCCGAAAGCUAUUUAGGUAGCGCCUCGUGAACUCAUCUUCGGGGGUAGAGCACUGUUUCGGCUAGGGGGUCAUCCCGACUUACCAACCCGAUGCAAACUACGAAUACCGAAGAAUGUUAUCACGGGAGACACACGGCGGGUGCUAACGUCCGUCGUGAAGAGGGAAACAACCCAGACCGCCAGCUAAGGUCCCAAAGUCAUGGUUAAGUGGGAAACGAUGUGGGAAGGCACAGACAGCCAGGAUGUUGGCUUAGAAGCAGCCAUCAUUUAAAGAAAGCGUAAUAGCUCACUGGUCGAGUCGGCCUGCGCGGAAGAUGUAACGGGGCUAAACCAUGCACCGAAGCUGCGGCAGCGACACUAUGUGUUGUUGGGUAGGGGAGCGUUCUGUAAGCCUGCGAAGGUGUGCUGUGAGGCAUGCUGGAGGUAUCAGAAGUGCGAAUGCUGACAUAAGUAACGAUAAAGCGGGUGAAAAGCCCGCUCGCCGGAAGACCAAGGGUUCCUGUCCAACGUUAAUCGGGGCAGGGUGAGUCGACCCCUAAGGCGAGGCCGAAAGGCGUAGUCGAUGGGAAACAGGUUAAUAUUCCUGUACUUGGUGUUACUGCGAAGGGGGGACGGAGAAGGCUAUGUUAGCCGGGCGACGGUUGUCCCGGUUUAAGCAUGUAGGCUGAUUGUCCAGGCAAAUCCGGAUAAUCAAGGCUGAGGUGUGAUGACGAGGCACUACGGUGCUGAAGUAACAAAUGCCCUGCUUCCAGGAAAAGCCUCUAAGCAUCAGGUAACAUUAAAUCGUACCCCAAACCGACACAGGUGGUCAGGUAGAGAAUACCAAGGCGCUUGAGAGAACUCGGGUGAAGGAACUAGGCAAAAUGGUGCCGUAACUUCGGGAGAAGGCACGCUGGUGUGUAGGUGAAGUCCCUGCGGAUGGAGCUGAGACCAGUCGAAGAUACCAGCUGGCUGCAACUGUUUAUUAAAAACACAGCACUGUGCAAACACGAAAGUGGACGUAUACGGUGUGACGCCUGCCCGGUGCCGGAAGGUUAAUUGAUGGGGUUAUCCGUAAGGAGAAGCUCUUGAUCGAAGCCCCGGUAAACGGCGGCCGUAACUAUAACGGUCCUAAGGUAGCGAAAUUCCUUGUCGGGUAAGUUCCGACCUGCACGAAUGGCGUAAUGAUGGCCAGGCUGUCUCCACCCGAGACUCAGUGAAAUUGAACUCGCUGUGAAGAUGCAGUGUACCCGCGGCAAGACGGAAAGACCCCGUGAACCUUUACUAUAGCUUGACACUGAACAUUGAGCCUUGAUGUGUAGGAUAGGUGGGAGGCUUUGAAGCGUGGACGCCAGUCUGCGUGGAGCCAACCUUGAAAUACCACCCUUUAAUGUUUGAUGUUCUAACGUUGGCCCCU
rnacentral:rRNA from 1 species